rnacentral:rRNA from 1 species
AAUCAACGCUGGCGGCGUGCCUCAGACAUGCAAGUCGAACGCGAAAGCUCCCUUCGGGGGGCAAGUAGAGUGGCGCACGGGUGAGUAACACGUAGGUAAUCUACCUUCGGGUGGGGAAUAACAACCGGAAACGGUUGCUAAUACCGCAUAAUGCAGCGGCACCUAAUGGUGACAGUUGUUAAAGCGGGGGAUCGAAAGAUCUCGCGCCUGAAGAGGAGCCUGCGGCGGAUUAGCAGUUGGUAGGGUAACGGCCUACCAAGGCGAUGAUCAGUAGGGGAACUGAGAGGUUGAUCCCCCACACUGGCACUGAGAUACGGGCCAGACUCCUACGGGAGGCAGCAGUAGGGAAUAUUGGUCAAUGGGUGAGAGCCU